CUUCUGAGGCACUCUGCAGAUCACAUUAAAGGAUUUAACCGGAAAAAUAUAAUGUCCAGCAUCUCUUUGGAAAACUUAAGCAUAUAACAAACUUAAUUUCCCACUUAUUCGAUCGCCUCGUGCACUAAAUUAACAAAUUGCUGCAGGUUGCAGAAAUUCAAAACUUGAGGAAGCCCUUCUCCAUGAGGCUUUCAACAGUGUCCUUGAGACUCGUUUCCAGAGGAAGGAAAGUGAUUCCCAAACAUUUUGCUUUCUCCCUUGGACACUUGAAACUUGGAGCCAGAAGGAUUGCCAGGCUCACAAAGGCUCAGUGUGGGGUAAAGCUCUCGUAAAAUCUUUAGAGUAUCGGGACCAUCAGCAACUUGUGCAACUAAACAAUAUCUGCCACUAGCUGAAGGAACUUCAAAUGCUUGAAUAUGAGCAAAGGCAACAUCUCUAACAUCCACAAAUGCAUAGUUUAUAAAAGGUGUUUCGAUACCUGAGCACAAAAGAGAAACAAAACAGAAUAAACCCUGGAUGUAUCACAAGGAAUAGUGUUUUAACAUAAAGGGGGUGAAUUGUACCACUCAUUAAAUUCAGAAGAAACUCGACGGAGAGAUUAAGAGUUGGCUGUAAGAGUGGACCAAUCACAAUCCCUGGAUGUAUUGUUACCAAGUCAAUCCCAUUUCCUUUGGCAAAAUUUCCAGGCGGCCUCCUCAGCUAAAGUUUUUGAGAGAGGAUACCAUUGCUGAACAAAUAAAGAAGGAAGUUCUUAUGAGUUUGUAGUUCAUCAUGUACUGCUUUGUAUUGUGUUAAGCUUACAUCUGUCUAAAAUUAUUCAAUAGUAUGGGAACGCACGUACCUUGAUCGUCUCACAAAAAAGUGGAUCCGAGUACCAUGUUUCAUCCAUAACCACAUCAGAGGUCAGAGGUUUUCCACUCAACCUUACUGAAGCCAGAGAAGAUGUUAAAACCACUCUCUUGACGGCAGGGAAUUUUGCGCAUGAUUUUAGAACAUUAAGUGUUCCUUUCACUGCAGGCUCAAUUAUUUCUACCUGAAACAUAGAAACGAAAUAAUAUUAUUCUAGUUUCUACAUCAUUUCUCUUGAAGGUGUAUCGAUUUUCAAUGCAUUCGUGAGCGCACACACACGAUACACUUUUUGAUGGAUGCAUGAACUGAAGGGACAGACCUGUGGGUCAGUGGCUGAAAAUUGUGCAGGCGAUGCUGUAUGAAAAACACCUACACAUCCAUCAAUUACGCCGUCAAAUGAUCCUUCUUCUACUAGAUCGGCUUUGAACAAAUGAAGCCUCUCCUUUGCUCCAUCUAAUGAGAGCAAGUGUUCUGUUUUCUUUGCAUCAUCUGUAUGCAAAACCCAGAAUCUGAAAUUAUUGAAUGAAUUGUUUGAAGUUGAACAGUAUAUAUGAGCAAGUGUAGAAAUACUGACUUGGAUCGCGAACAGUGGCUUUGACGGUAUAACCCUUUUGCAGUAAGAGCUUCACCAGCCAUGAUGCUAUGUAACCAGAUGCUCCUGUUACACAUACAGUCUUUGAUUCUCCGGUACUCAUUUCUCUCUCUCUCUCUCUCUCUCUCUCUCUCUCUCUCUCUCUCUAGCUAAGAAUUAAUAAGCUUAAUUUGGUUCAGAAUUGUGUUUUUCAUGGUGAAAGGUCAGCUGGAAAUUAAAGGUCAAUGUUGCCAACUUGUCUUCUUCAGCUCUGAAUACUUUUGUAAUGGCAAGCCAUUGUUUAUUUUGAAUGUUGACUAAACAGGUGUUGGGCAGGAACUAAUCUUAAGUUAGGGGUAGCACUUGUUCCAAAUGGUUGCAAGAAAUAUUAGGAGUCCUUUAACUAAUAUUUCUUUAAAAGUAGUGAAGUGAAGCAACAACUUCUUAGUAGGAAUCUCGUUUUAUUCUAGCAAAAACAGGAUACGGACUAGGAACCAUGUAUAUAGGACUCUUAUUUAUUUCACCAUCUCCCUUUUUUUCUUCAAUAUCUUAUACGGUAAUACACGCCACUGGGACAUGAAAUGGCUAUGAGAGAGAAUCUCUCACUAAAACUUAUGUCAUGGCAAAUUAUAGUUUAUUAUGAAUGUUGACAAAACAAAAUAGAAAAAUAUUAUGAAGGAAGAAGAAAUAUUAGUAUUGGCAGGAUAUUUCAAAUUCAAACACUUUGCAAACAUUUCAACACCUAAUCAGAAAUGAUUCAACAAACCAGUUUUUUCAUGCCUUUCUAAGAUUAUUUAUUUAUUUAUUUGGAAAAUUGUCCAUAUAUAUAUAUAUAUAUAUAUAUAUAUAUAUUUUGGUCAAGAAUAAAACUUACAAUUAAUUCUAGAAAGGCCUAAACCUAAACAAAACACAAUACCCUACACAACAAAGCAAUACAUAAAAUAGAAGACAAGCUCAAAAAGGAGAGCUACAACCCCAAUUACAGAGCGAGGCCCAUACAAAUUUAGGCCCGUUGACAACAACAACAAAAAAAAAAAACAAUAAAAAUCCUAAUCUCCAGCCGCCAAAAGUCAGUCACCACCGCCGUUAUCUCCACGAAACAUGUUACACUCCUGUAUUCUGUUAAAUCACAAGAACAUUACUACAAACAGAUGUCAAUCAUGUUCUAGGACAGUAAGGGGAAGCAACAAAUUAACUAGAGUGCACAUCGAUUUGACAACAUAAAACCCCAACACGUGAGGAAACGUCCUUGGACACUCCUUAAUUAGGGGUGCUUUAACAAAGAUUCUUUUAAAGUUGUGAAUUUGGACACUGAGAUCUAGUCACCUAUGUGGCUGUCUGCCGAUCAAUCUAAGAAACUAAGAAAGUCUUGACAGGAAAGACAUUGUUAUUUUUUGGGAGAGCAAUGAAUCAAAGUGACGCAUAACUGAAUCUCAAUGGAUCGAGCAUGGCAGCUAGGCCAAAUUAUUUUCAUUGGAAACAGGAAACAGAUGACUUUCAUCAUGUCUUUGGAGUACUCAAGCAGAAAUCAAACUUCCGUUGCCGAAGAUACUUGAACUGUUGUCCGAGUUGGAUAAAUCAAAUCUGCAGGAAGCCCUUCUCCUUCAUGCUUUCAACAGUGUCCCUCAGAGGUGAUUUCCAAUGGGUGGAAGCUAAGUCCCAAACCUGUUGCUUUCUCUGAGGAUACGUGAUAUCUUGGGUCUGAAGUAUUGCCAAUCUCAAAUCUGCCAACAAUUACCAAAAACAAUAGAAUAAUAAAUCCCUUAGAAAUAAUUCUUGUAAUAGAAAUGUCGAGCUUUCGGUGUACACAAUUGAGUUAUUUUGUACAAGCAUCUUUAAUUAUUGGAAGAAAUUCCUAACUGGUACAGAUUUCGUUUCCAAGUCCAAAUCUUAUGUUUAUUUCACUCUCUGAAAGAACUUACCUUCAAACAGAUUUGACCGUGUUUAAUUCUACAGAACGAUAUGACAUUAUGUGUGGUAAAGUAAACGGGCACAAAUUUGAGGCAUUUUGCAUAUGAAACUUACUUUUCAAGAAGCAAAGUGGGGGUAAAGUUCGUGUAAAAUCUUCAGAACCUCGAAAAUGUCUGCAACAUGUCCAACUAAACAAUAUCUUCAACUUGCUGAAGGAACUUCAAAGGCCUGAAUGUCAGCAGAGGCAACAUCUAUAACAUUAAUGAAUCUGCAGUUUGAAACAGUCGAUUGGGUACCUGCACAAUAGUGAAACAUAAGCCAAUCAACUGCUUCAAUAAAAAAAUUAGUGGAAAAUAAAAAUGGAAGCUGUAAGAGUGGACCAGUCACGAACCUCGGAUGUAUUGUAGCUAAAUCAAUCUCAUUUCCUUUAGCAAAUUCCCUGGCAGCUUUUUCUGCAGAACAAAAAGAAAAGGGGCAGAUAAUACUAAGCAUUAUCCAUCUCUUUUAUAAUUGCACCCAGACACCUUGUUUGGUGAUUAGAUUAGAUUAGAUUUUGUUUCAGCGCGACACAGAAAUAUAACAAAUUAACAAUGAAAAAAGAUAAUAAGAAUCGGAAAUUCAUACAUACCUUGUACUUCUCGCAAACAAGUGGAUCUGAAUACCAUGUUUCAUCCAAAACUACAUCAGAGGUCAGAGGUUUUCCGCUCAUCAUUACUGUACCCCUCUCUUGACAGUUGGAAAUUUCACACAUGGUUUUAGAACAUCAAGCGUUCCAUUCACGGCUGUGUUAACUAGUUCUGCCUGACAUAUGGACAGAAAUAUCAUGCUGGUUUCCACAUCAUUUGUCUUGAAAUUAUUCAUUCUACACGUGCACGCAGGAACAUAUGAUAGAGUAUUUGAAGCAUAAAGUGAACGGACAAACCUGUGGGUCAGUAGCCGAGAAUAGUACAGGUGAUGCUGUGUGAAAAACGGCUUCACAUCCAUCAACUGCAGCAUCGAAAGAUCCUUCUUCCAAUAAAUCUGCUUUGAACAAAUGCAGCCUGUCUUUUGCUCCAUCUAGUGAGAGCAAGUGUUCUGUUUUCUUUGGAUCAUCUGUAGCAUACAUGAACAGAACUAUGAGUUGAACCAAGAAUAGUACAACCACAUUAGAUAGGGACGUAUGUGUACAAGGCAAAGUAGCAAACAUUGACUAUAGUCAUUGCCAAUUGGCAAUUGAGCUAGGCCUACCAUAGUAUCCAUAACGAAAAAAAAAGAAGGCAAAUACUUGGUUCCUCCAAUUGCAAAUAGCAUCCUAUCCAAUCACAAUUUUCAUGUGUGCAGAAAUUGUUCUUUUUUUGUUUGUAACGAGUUAUUUCUGCAUACUUGUCAAACUCUGAUUUACGGGACAGAGAGACGACUUUCCAGGAAAGAGCCAAGAAGUGUCCAAAACAGAGUACAGAUUUGAUACGAAUUGUUUCAACUCUAUCAUUUAUGCAUAAAGUUUUGGCUAAUAAGCUUGAUCACUAACAGCUAGCAAGAAUGUCAAACCAGUUCAAGGCCUGGCAUUAACUGGACUUCAAGAAAUACACUAGAACUACAGAUGAAGACCUACACCGAAAAUUUUAGGAUUUUCUCUUGCUGGACGAAACGAUAUACAAAACACAGAACUAUCAAUCCAACAUCAAAUGAUCAUUAAUUCUUUGCUUCUUUACAAAUGACAAAUUCCAAAUGAUGUAAUCAGAGUCUAAACACUUUAUAGCACAUCUCAUACAUGAAAGUUAAUGCUCUAAAAUUCAACUCUCUCUCCUAAACCAUGAAAAGAGCAUCCAAAAAGUUCACCAAUUUUUUCAAAAAGCAAACUCUCUGCAAAUGCAAUUUCCUGAAAAAAAAUCCUGCUGAUCACUUUCAUUAGGGUCCAACUUUAGCUUGAUCACCUCCAUAUUCUUCCUUGCCCAACAAGUCACCCAAACCCCUAUUUCUUUUCUUGAACCUCUCCUCAACGCUCUCCAAACGCCGAAGCACAGUCUCCACCAGAAAAUCCUUGCCCCUGCAGUUAUCGAAAAACAAGUGCUUCAGCAGUGUCUCUGACGCCGGCCUCUUCGCUGGGUCUUGAUCAAGGCAAGAACCCACCAAGUCCUUGAAAGCCACAGAGUACUCCUUGUUCUUGAAAUCUUUGAUGAUGUUUUCGUAGUCAGAAAACUGGUACCUGUUCUUGACCUUUAGAAUCUGAGAUUCCAAUAACGGUGGCAGGCCAGACAGGGGAGGACAGCCGCGAGCCAAUUCCAGUGCCAUGAUCCCAAAUGCCCAGAUAUCCACCUUGCAUCCAUCUCCGUAGGGCGCCACCCUAUCUGGCAUUGCCGAAGUGUCGUUUGUCCCAGUUGGCGUUGCCGAAGUGUCGUUUGUCCCAGUUGAAUGAUCGGCGCCGUAGAAAGAAGCAGAGACCCCGAAAUCGGCGAGCUUAACGGACCCAUCAGAGUCAACCAAGAUGUUUCCGGGCUUGAUGUCGCCGUGGGUGUGUCCCUGGCCAUGGAGAUACGACAUGGCGUUUAGCGUCUCUUUCAGGAAGACAGCAAUGCAGGGCUCUGGUAAUCCUUGAGGGAAAGCAGGGGAGGAGAUUAUUAUGGACUGCAGAGAGCCGAAGGCCAUGAAUGGCAUGACCACCCAGAGACGGCGCUCGGCGGUGGUGAAGGAGCAAUGGUUGCUGAGAAUGUUGGGGUGGGAAAGAGACAGAGUCUUGGUGUCGCGGAGCUUGCUCUCGAAAUCGGCCGUGGAUUGGUCGAGGUCGACGGACUUUAUUGCGACGACUGCAGAGUUCAUGGGGAUGCAGACGGCCUUGUAGACGACAGCCUUGUCGCCAGAGCCAAUUUCUUGGAGGUUUUCAUACGCGGCCGAGUCCAACGGGAAUUGGACCUUUUGUGGGUUAUCUUGGCGGGUGGAAGAAGACGAAGAAGUCGCCAUUGGAUACGACAAAGAUGAAAUCUUGAAGAAUGGAAGUGGGUUGUUUUGAUUUCUGGGAAAUGGCUUUUGAUGGAGAAGAUGAAUGUAGGGAUUCUGCAGUACUAAUUCUAGUGAAAGGUUGAUGCUUUGGGAGGAAGACGACGAUGUAUGAGAAUGUGUGUGACUGUGUACUGCUCUGCUUGUACUUGCUUAUAUAAUAAGAAAUGGUAAGAAGAUGAGGGUAUUUUGGGGAUUUUCCAUUCCAAUUGGGGGUUGAAAUUAUAGAUAAGUUUUACUUCUUACCCCUAGAUUUUUUUAAUUAGCAAAAUCAACAACAUUCUGUUGUGAGGCGGUUUUGGUGAUUAGGAUUGGGUGAGGUUGGUUAAGAUAAAAUACAAUUGGUUCGUUUUCUGUUAUUUUCCAUCUCAGCAAUGUCUUGGGAGGCAAGGCAUUGUUAGUCCUGUUGUGAGUACCUCGUAUAAAUAUUUCGAAAGGAAUAUAAGCAUACAAACAAAAUACGUAUUUGAGACCCAAUUCCAAGAACAAAACUGACCUACUAACCUAUUGAAAUCAUUCUUCAAGACUAGAGAGACCAAAGUUUUAAACAAAUUUUGUAAACAAUACGACGUGAUUGUUGAUAACUGAAGUAAAUAAACCUAAAUACAAGAACUUAGACCAAAGACGACAUUUUAUUUCACAUGCUCACUUAUGAGCAGAAUGGCAUGAGAGAAUAUCCAAGUAGAUAUGUCAUGAAUUGUCGACGAUUUUGCUGACUAGCCGAACAACGAGGAGUUCCAUGAUCAGAAGAAGUUCUUCUCCUUCAAACCUUCAGCGGUGUCCUUCAAAGACACCUCCCGAGGAGUAAACUCAACAUCGAAAGUCUGAGCUCUUUCCUUGGAUAUCUGGUAAGUUGGCGUGAAAGGUCGAUCAUCUUUACAUCUACCCAAAAUAGAGUCACAUCAAUGUCAUGGAUCCCUUUAGCAAAACUACGUCUCUAGAUGACUUGACCAAAUCAACUCAAAAGAAACAGCAACCGAACAGUACCUUAGUGCAUAAGCAAACCUGUACUAUCCUUAGAAGCAGUUCAAUGUAGGACUAAGACGCAACAAUUUGGUUAUGUUUAGCAACUUACUUUUCGGGAAGUUUGAGAGCAGGGAAGAGAUCACGGAAAGUUUUGACAGCCACAGAACAGUGUGCUACGCUUCCAACUAUAGAAUACCUCCCACUAGCUGAAGGAUUCUCAAAGGCUAGAAUAUGCCAUUAGCAACAUCUCUAACAUCAACCCAUCUAUGAGUUACAUUUGGAUACUUUUUCGGUUCUUGCAUAAAUUGUACAUCCGGAACAAUUAAUAUUUUCAUAGAUUGUAAGUUAUCACAGACACAGAGGUAAUGAAGACAGCACAUGUGAUAUUACUACUACUGCCUACUGGUAGCAAGAGUUGCGUACUCAUGAUAACAGAAGGGAAGGGAAAAGAAAUUGUAAUUGAAUUUGAAUAUAGAAGAAACCGCAAAUAAUACUCGAGAAAGUCCCAAACAAUUAUAAAAGAUGUGCAUGAAACCAGUAAAAUGAACUUUGGAUGCAUGAGUUGUAUUGGUAUAGAAGUGAGAUAUGUUAGUUACUAAUAGCUUUCGAGGCAAGGAUUUAAAUGUAAGUCCUCUCUUCUGUACAAAAUGAAAAAGUUCUGGUGGAGAAACAUCGACUUGGCGACAGCUAAAAGAGAUGAAGGAAGUAUUAGCAUCUCAGAUUCUUACACUUACCAAAGACGUAUGGAUCUGGACACAACCAUUCCUGGAUUUACUGCAACCAAAUUGAUUCCAUUCUCCUCUGCAAACUUCCAAGCAGCUUCCUCAGCUGAGGUUUUUGAAAGCGGAUACCAAAGCUGAUAAAAACAAAGUCUCAAUGAGCACAAUGAACAUAUUUUUAUAUCAUGAAAGAAAUAAGAUUUAAACCUUCUCCGGUGAUGUUUUUAUUACAAGAGGAAUGCUAUGCAAUGCAACCAGACCAAGAUGAAUAAACAUACGAGCACCGAUUGUUCCAGUAUAUUUAGUAAGAAACUACGUCUUUCAGUUCAGAUUCACUACCUGGCAAGGCAUUUUUAAAGAGUUGUAAUAGCCUAAAAGUUACUCAGAACUAAACUCACUAAGAAAACCGAGGCGUAUUAGAUAAAGCAAAACAAGAAGUGACUUCUGCAAUGUAUGCAGUAAACAAUCAAACCAUUAAGAACAGAGAAAGAAAACAUAGUAAGAUGGUAAAGCAGAAAUUACAUAUUAUUGUAUGAACCUGGAUGCAUAUAAAUAUAUAAGGCCAAGUUCCAUCUGAUUUUCCAUUACAUAAACUAGAUCUUCAAGUGAAGCAUUCCUGAAUAAUGAAAGAGAAUUAGCGUAUUGUGUACAAACCUUUGAUUUUUCACAGAAAGCUGGAUCUGAAAACCAAGAUUCAUCGACUACUGCAUCAGCAGAAAGAGGUUUUCCAGUAAAUACAAUUGAUACGAUGGAGGAUGUUAGAACCAGUGGACUCCUAGAAAUGCAGCUUGUGUACUUAAAACUUCAGGUGGAGUUCCUGUUAGGUUAUUAGCUGAUACACGGAAAAACUUCAAGUUGCAAAGUAUCCCUAUGGAGCUCGGAAUCCCACCCUCGACAUUUUUGAACAAAAGAUAAAAAUAGGUAAGAGCUGUCAUGUUGCCAAAGGAAGCAGUGUCAUGUUGCCAAAGUAUCCCUAUGUAUUCUACUUAAAUAUUUUCGACUUGGGAUUACAGAAUGUUCAGGAUCCAAUACAAAGUUCAAACUUCAUAUUUCACAGUAUUUAAAACGUAGUUGAAACAAAUUCCAAAGUACAAUUAAACUUCACAGAAAGAGGUCUCAUGCAAGAGUUUUGUGAAUGUUGGAAGAAUGCAUGCAAGUCAUAUCUUGUGUUAAAAUACAUGCAUGAAAUAAACAUGUUGGAUGACUAGUGAAGUUAGGCUAGUCAACAUUCUUUGUGUAAAUUAGGCAAGUUAGGCAAGUUAGGAAAUUAGGCAUGUUAGGCAAGUUAGGCAAGUUAGGCUUAUGUCUACUUUCUUUUCCUAUAUAUAUGUUUCAUUUGUAAUUGUUUCUUCAUGAAAUACACAUCAAAAAUUCUACAUGGUAUCAGAGCAGGUUCAUUUGUAACCUGUCUCUGCCAUUCUUGCUGCUGCAAUUUUUUCUUUCUUUCAAAGUCUAAGUCAUGACUGAAGAAAGUUCUGUGAACCAUGAUGAGGAAACCCGGCACAAUCUCUCUCCAAACUUCUCAGACGUUGAGGUUAACACCAAUCAAUGUUUGUGUUCAGUUCUCUUGAACGAGUUCAAUUAUCUUCCUUGGUCCCGAGCUGUUUCACUAGCUCUUGGAGGCAAAGGGAAGUUAGGGUUUGUAAAUGGAAGCGUGGAAGCUCCAAACAGUUCUUCCUCUACAUACAAUGCAUGGCUCUGCAAAGAUCAACUUGUCAUGUCCUUGCUGCUCAACACCAUGGAGAAACAUGUUGCUGAAAUUUUUAGCUACUCCAAUUCCGCACAUGAUCUUUGGAAAGCUUUGCAGGAUAUGUAUGGAAAUCAAAACAACUAUGCACGGGUCUUCCAAUUAAAGAAGGACAUUGCCAGUGCUCAACAAGAAGGGAAAGCAUUUGUUCAACACCUUGGGAGCCUCAAAGCCAUGUGGAAUGAGUUGGAUGUAUAUCUUCCUCAUACCACAGAUCCUACCAUUCUCCUAAAACGAGCUGAGGAAGACAAAAUUUAUCAGCUGUUAGGGAGUUUGAGCUCUGAGUACGAGGACCUAAGGAGUCACAUCUUGAUGAGUCAAGACCUGCCUACCUUCAACAAUGUUUGUGCAACUAUCCAACGAGAAGAAGCAAGGAAGAAGGUUAUGAAUGUUGAUCACAAUCCUAGAUUAACAGAGACUCGGGCAUAUGCAUCAAAGUACAAGAACUCAGAAGCCAAGGUAUACAAGGGAAGAAACACACAUCUAAAAUGCAAAUAUUGCAAUGGUGUUGGUCAUGAGGAAGACAAGUGUUGGGAACUUCAUCCUGAACUCAAGCCUAAGUUCAGCAAAGAUGGAAGGAUGAUACCAAGGUCCUCACAGCAAUUUCAACCUCAUUUCAAGGCACAACUUGUUAAUGCUCACGCUCCUACUAUCUCACAAGGAUCCAUGGAGUUCACUGCCAAUCCAUUGUCAUUGAUCAAUGAAUUUGCAGCUUACCUACAAAGUAAGGGGCACGGAGGAGGCUCACAUGGUCAAGGCAAUGAAGAGGGUAGUCACACAGCUAUGUUGGGACAAUUUGCCGGAUUUCUUGCUGGAAAUGAGAAAGUUCCAAAGGGAGAAGCAUCAGGUAUACUCAAAGCCUUUACUACUGCCCUAUUAACUAGUACUGAAAUUGAUUGUUGGAUAAUUGAUUCAGGCGCCACAGAUCAUAUGACAAACAAAGUUACAAAUUUACAUCAUUUUAAAAAAUUUUCAAGCCCCUCACAUGUGUCUGUUGCAAAUGGAAAAAAUGUCUUAGUUUUGGGAAAGGGAGAAAUAAACUUACUCUCUCAAAAAACACCUUCCACUGCCCUCUAUGUACCAACCUUUCCCUUUCAACUUUUGUCAAUUGGAAAGAUCACCAACACCCUAAACUGCCGUGCUAUUUUCUCACCAAAUAAAGUAAUGUUUCAGGAUGUUCUCACCAUGAAGAUGAUUGGUGAAGGGGUCUUCAUAAAUGGACUUUACUACUUGUGCAAGAAUGCAUGUUUCACUCAGGCUCUUCAAGCUCAAUCAAAGUCCAUAGAUGAAAACCAACUUUGGCAUAAGAGAUUAGCUCACCCCUCUGAACUUGUCUUGUCGAAACUGUUUCCAAAUUUUUGUAACCCCUAUCCUACUUGUGAUACUUGUCAAUUUUCUAAGUUUACUAGGCUACCUUUUGGUAAUUCAAUGUCUAGGACAAGUAAACCUUUUGAAAUGGUACACACCGAUGUAUGGGGACCUGCAACUGAAUCAAUGGAAGGUUUUAAAUAUUUUGUUCUAUUUGUUGAUGAUUUCUCUCGAACAAGUUUUCUAUAUCUUAUGAAAUCAAAAAGUGAAGUCCCUACCAUUUUCAAAGACUUUCACAUGCAUGUUAAAACGCAAUUUCAAUCAAACAUUAAGGUUUUAAGGUCAGAUAAUGGCACUGAAUUUCUAUCCAACAACAUGCUUCAAUACAUAAGUUCUCAGGGUAUCAUACAUCAAACCAGCUGUGUGGGAACUCCCCAACAAAAUGGAGUAGCCGAAAGGAAAAAUAGAGAUCUCUUGGAAAAAACUCGUGCUCUCAUGAUUCACAUGCACGUUCCAAAGAAAUUUUGGUCGUUUGCCAUCCUUACUGCCACUUAUCUCAUAAAUCGACUUCCAAGUCGUGUGCUAGGGUUUAAAUCUCCAUAUGAAGUUCUCAAGGGGAGGAAAAUAGAUUUGACACAUCUCAAGGUGUUUGGUUGUGUGUGUUUUGUUCACAUCCAAACCUUGAACCGUGACAAACUAGAUGCCAGGGCAAUCAAGUGUGUGUUUAUGGGAUACUCGACCACUCAAAAGGGAUACAAGUGCUUCAAUCCAGUCACUAAGAAGUGCACAGUUUCAAGAGAUGUGAAGUUCGAAGAAGACUAUCCCUAUUUUACAAGUCAGGGGGAGGAUUUAGUUGACAUGUUCCCACUCCCUCAAAACUUUAAUUAUCCGAUGUUGGAAAAGAGAUCAGUCAUUUUAAGUCCAGAUUGUGAAGAAGUUCAAACUGACCAAAUUACUGCCAAUGAGAGUGAAGACGAGCCCUACUCUGAUCCUUCUCCGCCUUCUACAGAGUCUCAGGUGAUUAAAAGAAAUCCUCCUCGAAUCAGAAAACCUCCAGCUAGGUUGCAGGACUAUGUUACAUAUGCCUCACGACAUCCAAUCAAUGAAUGUAUCAGCUUUAGUAAGUUCUCAACAUCUCAUGCUGCAUUUCUCAGUGAAAUUGAUAAGCACUAUGAACCAAGAAGCUUUCAAGAAGCUUCUCUUCUCCCACAAUGGAACCAAGCCAUGAAAGAAGAGAUUCGUGCACUGGAAGAGAAUUGCACCUGGAGCCUAGUUCAACUACCACCAGGAAAAAAGGCUGUUGGAAGUCGUUGGAUUUACAAGACUAAAUUCAAAGCUGAUGGAUCUAUCGAGAGACACAAGGCUAGACUUGUUGCUCGAGGUUUCACCCAAACCUUUGGUGUAGAUUAUAAGGAAACAUUCGCACCGGUGGCCAAGAUGAACUCAGUCAGGGUUUUACUGUCAGUUGCAAUCAAUUGUGGAUGGUCACUCUACCAAAUGGACGUGAAGAAUGCUUUCCUUCACGGCGAGCUGCAGGAAGAAGUGUAUAUGCAACCUCCUCCUCCAGGCUAUGAUGGUAUUAAAGGCAACAUGGUUUGUAAAUUGCACAAGGCAAUAUACGGAUUGAAACAAUCACCAAGAGCUUGGUAUGCCAAGCUUAGUUCUGUUCUGGAAAAGGCUGGAUUCAUGCGAAGUAAUGCUGAUUCUUCGUUAUUUGUAAGAACUGGCACCAGGGGGAAGUUGGUGGUCCUCGUCUAUGUUGAUGAUCUUAUCAUCACUGGAGAUAAUACCGUGGAGAUUGAGGCACUAAAAACUCUCACUACAUCAAGCUUUCGCUAUCAAAGAUUUGGGGAGGUUAAAGUAUUUUUUGGGGAUCGAAAUGGCAACAUCUUCAAAAGGACUGUUUCUACAUCAAAGGAAAUAUGUAUUGGACCUCCUUCAAGAAGCAAAAAUGCUUGACUGCAAGCCUGCUAUCACUCCCGUUGAUUGUAAACUGAAGCUCAGCAUAGAUGGAGAAGCCAUGCAUGAUGUAAGCUACUAUCAACGAUUAGUAGGCAAGCUCAUAUACCUCACUAUCACUCGUCCAGAUAUCACAUAUGCAGUGAGCUUGGCUAGUCAGUUCAUGCACUCUCCCACUGUUGAUCACCUUAACCUUGUUAAGAGAAUCCUUCGUUAUCUUAAGGGUUCAAUUGGGCAAGGAAUUACAAUGCAUAACAAUCAGUCCACUGUCAUUAGUGGCUACACAGAUGCAGACUGGGCAGGUAAUGCAAUUGAUAGGAAAUCAAUCACAGGCUAUUGUACAUUUGUUGGUGGAAACCUUGUCACAUGGAAGAGUAAGAAGCAACAGGUAAUUGCUCGUUCCAGCGCAGAAGCUGAGUAUCGAGCCAUGGCAGCCACUGCGUGUGAACUCAUUUGGCUUAAAGGGCUUCUUUCAGACUUAGGGUUUCCUAGUUCUACUCCUAUGACGCUUAUGUGUGAUAAUCAGGCAGCCAUGCACAUUGCUGCCAAUCCUGUGUUCCAUGAAAGAACCAAACAUAUUGAAGUGGAUUGUCAUUUCAUCCGAGCUCAAGUUCAAACGCAAAUCAUCCGGACCAUGUUCACACGAAGCCAUGAUCAACUAGCAGAUCUUUUUACAAAGGCACUAGCAUCAUCUCAGUUUCAUCGGUUAUUGGGCAAGCUUGGCUCAGUGAAUCCCUUCGAUCCAGCUUGAGGGGGAGUGUUGGAAGAAUGCAUGCAAGUCAUAUCUUGUGUUAAAAUACAUGCAUGAAAUAAACAUGUUGGAUGACUAGUGAAGUUAGGCUAGUCAACAUUCUUUGUGUAAAUUAGGCAAGUUAGGCAAGUUAGGAAAUUAGGCAUGUUAGGCAAGUUAGGCAAGUUAGGCUUAUGUCUACUUUCUUUUCCUAUAUAUAUGUUUCAUUUGUAAUUGUUUCUUCAUGAAAUACACAUCAAAAAUUCUACAGUGAAACACCAAUUAUUUUCUGUAACAAAUUUUUACAUAGUUGAUAAAAUGGGACUUGACGUUACAAUGGUAAGUCCCAAGUGAUCCAUGGCUAGAAGAAGUUUUUCUCCUUCAAACUUUCCACGGUAUCCCUGGUAAGUUGGUGUGAAUCAUUUGUCAUCUGCACAUCUGUGAAGAACACACAGACGUUAAACUUUCAAAUCUGAAGUCCAAAUUAUCUGUCACACAAAUUAGCAACUACGAAGAAUAUGCAAAUCACUCACUGUACAGACCAUUUCACUUGCAGUUUGUACAUCACUCACGGUACCUCAGACCAAGGCAGGGAUUCUUUAUGAAAUACUUAGUUUCUCAAAGGCUAGAACGAUAUAGGCUUGAUAAAGAUAUUGUUCUAUAUUAAUAGGAUCUCAGGCAUGCCAGUUGUAACCCAAAUAUCCUCAGACACGAAUACUACAAAUUAUAUGCAAGAUGGAAUUGCCGAGGGUUCAAUUGGCAAUUUAGCUAGGCCAACCUUAGUAUCCAUAACCGAAAAAAAGAAGGCAACUACUCGGUUCCUCCAAUUGCAAAUAGCAUCGUACUUACAUGCCAAUCACAAUUUCAAUAUUUCACGUGUGCAGAAAUUGUUCUUUUUGUUUUUGUAAUGAGUUAUUUCUGCAUACGUGUCAAAGUAUAAUCUACAGGACCAAGGGAUGACUUCUUCCGGGGAAAGAGCCAAGAAGUGUCCAAAAAAGAGAAUACAAAUUUGACACGAACUGUUUCAACUCUCAUUUAUGCAUAAAGUUGUGGUUAAUAAGCUUAAUCGCUAAAAGCUGGCAAGAAUGUCGAAAACAGUUCAAGGCCUUGCCUUAACUGGACUUCAAGAACUACACUUGAACUCCAGAUGAAGACCUACACCAAAAGAUCUUCUUUCGCUGAACGAAACGAUAUACAAAACACAGAACUAUCAAUCCAACAUCAAAUGAUCUUUAAUUCUUUGCUUCAUUACAAAUGACAAAUUCCAAAUGAUGUAAUCAGAGUCUAAACACUUUAUAGCAUAUCUCAUACAUGAAAGUUAAUGCUCUAAAACUCAAUUCUCUCUCUUUCCUAAACCAUGAAAAGAACAUCCAAAAAGUUUACCAAUUUUUUCAAAAAGCAUACUCUCUGCAAAUGCAAUUUCAUGGAAAAAUCCUACUAAUCACUUUCAUUAGGGUCCAACAAGUCACCCAAACCCCAAUUUCUUUUCUUCAACCUCUCCUCAACGCUCUCCAAACGCCGAAGCAUAGUCUCCGCCAGAAAAUCCUUGCCCCUGCAGUUGUGGAAAAACGAGUGCUUCAGCAGCGUCUCUGCUGCCGGCCUCUUCGUAGGGUCCUGAUCAAGGCAAGAACCCAUCAAGUCCAGAAAAGCCACAGAGUACUUCUUGGUCUUGAAAUCUUUGAUGAUGUUUUCGCAAUCUGAAAACUGGUACCUCUUCUUGACCUUCAGAAUCUCAGACUCCAAAAACAGCGACAGACGAGACAUAGGAGAGCCACCGUCAGCCAAAUCGAUCGCCGUCCUCCCAAAUGCCAAGAUAUCCGCCUUGCAUCCACCUCCAUUGGGCGCCACCCUAUAAGGCGUUGCCGAAGUGUAGUUUGUCCCAGUUGAAUGAUCGGCGCCGUAGAAAGAAGCAGAGACCCCGAAAUCGGCGAGCUUAACGGACCCAUCAGAGUCGACCAAGAUGUUUUCGGGCUUGAUGUCGCCGUGGACGUGUCCCUGGCCAUGGAGAUACGACAUGGCGUUUAGCGUCUCUUUCAGGACGACAGCAAUGCAGGGCUCUGGUAAUCCUUCCGGGAAAGCAGAGGAGGAGAUUAUGGACUGCAGAGAGCCGAAGGCCAUGAACGGCAUGACCACCCAGAGACGGCGGUCAGCGGUGGUGAAGGCGCAAUGGUAGCUGAGAAUGUUGGGGUGGGAAAGAGAAAAAGUCUUGGUGCCGCGUAGCUUGCCCUCGAAAUCGGCCGUGGAUUGAUUGAGGUCGACGGACUUGAUUGCGACGAUUGCAGAGUUCCUGGAAACGCAGAUGGCCUUGUAGACGACGGCCUUGCCGCCGAAGCCAAUUUUUUCGAGGUUUUUGUACGCGGCGGAGUCUAUCGGGAAUUGAACCUUUUGUGGGUUAUCAUGGUGGGAGGAGGAAGACGAAGAAGUCGCCAUUGGAGACGACAAAGAUGAAAUCUUGAAGAAUGGAGAAGAUGAAUGUAGGGAUUCUGCAGUACUAAUUCUAGUGAAAGGUUGAUGCUUUGGGAGGAAGACGACGAUGCAUGAGAAUGUGCGAGUGUGUACUGCUCUGCUUGUAUUUACUUAUAGAAUAAGAAAUGGUAAGAAGAUGAGGGUUUUUUGGGGAUUUUCUAUUCCGAAUGGGGGAUAAAAUUAUAGAUAAGUUUUAAUUUUUUGCCCCUUGAUUUGGUUAAUUAGCAGAAUCAUCAACAUUCUGUUGUGAGGCGGUUUUGGUAAGCAGGAUUGGGUGAGGUUGGUUAAGAUAAAAUACAGUAAGUUCGUUUUCUGUUAUUUGCCAUCUCAGCAAUGUCUUGGGACGCAAGGCAUUGUUACUCCUGUUGUGAGUACCUCGUAUAAAUAUUUCGAAAGGACUAUAAGCACACGAACAAAAUACGUAUUUGAGACCCGUAAGUUCAUGAACAAGACUGAUCCACUAACCUAUUAAAAUCAUUCUUCAAGAUGUCAUUAAAAGUCAAGUAAGCCUUAAAAAAAAAAAAACAGGUGAUUUUUUUUUUUUUUUGCUAAUGUAACCAAAUUGUGUAAAAAAAUAUGACGUGAUCGUUGAUAAUUGAACUAAAUAAACCAAAACGCUAGAACUUCCUCUGGACCAAAGAUGACAUUUUAUUCCACAAGCUCACUUAUGAGCAGAUUGGCAUGAGAGAAUAUACAAACUCUGUGCAACAAGAUUCUUAAGCUGGCCCAACCAUUCCAUCAACUUUCCAGGUAAUUGAUUGUUCCCCAAAUGAAGAAGAGAAGGUGUAUAAAUUAAACAAAGAACUGUAAGGACUCAAGCAAGCCCCCCGAGUUUGGUACAGUGAGAUUGACUCUUACUUCAGCAAUAGUGGAUUCAACAAAAGUCCUAGUGAAGCUGCACUCUACACAAAGUUUCCGUCCUUUCAAGGGUAAUUUUCUUAGAUGGGCCCAAUCUCAAAGUUUCCGUCAUAUCGAGCUAAAAAUAUAGGUAACGGGUUAAGAUGUGUGGUUUUCCAUGAGAACGAUGAUCAGUUGGGAAGAUGCAUCAACUGGUAAUCAUACUACAGCGUAUCAAAAGAGUAAACUAGAGGUGUAUUUGCCUGGUUUGGACCUAGUGUUCUUAAGCUCUGAGAAAAAUGAAUUUGAUUGAAAAUUCACAAUUUUUGUGAGUUGAAGGUCCUGAACUACAUCUAGCUUAUAUAGUCAAAGAAAUCUGCUGUGUCCUUCCUUAUAGGGAGUGACUAAGGGCAAUUUGAACAUUUAGCUAGGACCAGCUCUGUGCCAUCGCCGGAAGUUCAUACGAAUUGACUGUGCGUUCGUACGAAGGCAUGUCGCAUAGGCACUUGUGCCUGACGUCUGCAGCCGCAGACACAUUGAAGAACGACGAUAUUGGGGAAAGAAAUCUUAAUUUCAAGAUAUAUCAAGAGUGCCCUAAUUAGGAUUUCUUUGAAGAGUAAAGACAAUUUCAACUUGAACUAUUUCAUUUAGAGAUAUUGGGCAACAUUAUUAAUUACACAUGAGCCACAUAUCAAAGAUCUUAAGCAACUCCUGAGCAUUUUCGUAGACAAUUCUGAGGCUCUCUGCAGAUUACAUUUAAAUUAUUUAACAGGAAAAAUCUAUUGGCCCUCUUUGGAAUAUUUAAGCAUAAAACAAACUUCAUUUCCCACUUAUUCGCCUCGUGCACUAAAUUAACAAAUUGCUGCAGGUUGCAGAAUUCAAAACUUGAGGAAGCCCUUCUCCUUGAGGCUUUCAACAGUGUCCUUGAGACUCGUUUCCAGAGGAAGGAAAGUGAUUCCCAAACCUUUUGCUUUCUCCCUGGACACUUGAAACUUUGUGUCAGAAGGAUUGCCAAGCUCAGGAAGGCUCAAUGUGGGGUAAAGCUCUCGUAAAAUCUUUAGAGUAUCG
rnacentral:lncRNA from 1 species